GUCUGACUGUUUAUUCAGGAACACACACAGGCAGGAAACAGCAAAGAUCCUCAAACACAAAUCCACAGACAACCCCGAACUUCCCUAUAGCCAGCAACACCCCCACCUAUUCCCCAGCACCACCUAGUUUACCGUAAUCCAAUUUUAUUGAGCAUCCAAGGUACAGAGAGCAUUGAUUUAGCCCCACACUUUCAGGUGCUUCGGGUGAUGUAUAGGAUGGAGAUAGUCAUGCAAAUAACCACAAUAAGAGACAGAAAGGAAAAAAGUACUGUAAACUCAGAGUAGGGUUGAAACUUCAUUUGGUAGGGUGAAUCAGGCAGGGCUUCAUGGAGGAGGUGAUAUUUGAGAUGGGUCCUGAAGGUUGGCUAGAUUUGGAGUAGAGAGAGUGGUGGGAGCAAAGGCAAGAAGGUAGCAAUGCAAGGGCUGCAUGGGGAUGGAACAGUUCCCUUGAUGAGACUAUAGGAGCAUAGAGAAAAGGUGAGUUAGGAGCCUGACCUUGAAUGAGCUUACUCAUAAGGAGUGUAGAUUUUAGUUUCAUUUUCAUUGGUCAAUACAGGCAAGCCUUUGAAGGAUUUCUGCAGGAGAAUGUAGAUAUUGGAGUUGGGCUGCACCAGUGCAAACUGGACUGGGAAAUGGGAAGGGAGCAAGUGGAAGGUACAGUCAGGACAUUAUUGUCGUAACUUGGGCAGCAGUUACAGAGGCAAGCAAGGUGGAGAGGGGGUGGAAAUGAAGCGGAGAAUCCAGAUGCCUGAGCUGUCAUGGGUGUCCCUGUCUCCAGUUCCUCCUCCCCUUCUUCCUCUAGUGAGGCAUUUGCCCCCAAAUUCCAGCAAAAUCUCUCCUAUUAAGGCCACCAAUGACAUCCACAUUGAUAAUUCCAGUGAUGGCUUCUCAGUCCUCAUCUUGCUGACCUACCAGCAGGCCAUACCACACUUGAUCUGCCCUUCUUCAUAAAUAUACUCUCUGCUCCCAGCCCAAUCUCUCCCGGGUCACCACUGUCUCCUGGUUUUCCUCUCACUUCUCUGACCACUCCUCCUUUCCUGGAUCCAUCUCAUGCUCUCAUCCUUGGACCCCUCCUUUUCAGUGUCACAGCUUUAAACACCAUGUACAUGCUGAUGAUGCUUUAGCUCCGGCCUGGACCUCCUUGACGUCCACGUUCCUCCUACUUUCUACUUGAUCCUUCACUUGGCUAACAGAUGGCUCACCUUGGUAUAGUCCCAAAGAGGCUCUAUCUUGUUUCCUGUUCCUCCUUAAGACCUCUGGAGUUGCUGUUUCUCUGCCCGAAGCCUCAUGGCUCGCUCACUCACCUCCUGGCAUUCUUCAUCCUAACUCACUCCAUCCAAAAUUGCACCCUCCCAUACUACCUAGAUCCUUUGUCUGCUUUAUUUUUUCCCCUGGCUUCAUCAACAUUUAACACACCAUAUAUUGUACUUAUUUAUAUGUUUCUCAUUUAGUUGCCUCCACUAGAAUAUAUAUCUCAUGAUGGAAGUGGUCUUUCUUUUGUUUUGUUUUCAUUGCUGUAUUACUAACCCCUACAAGUGCUUGGUACAUGGCAGGCACUCAAUGCAUAUUUGUUGAACGAAUGAGUGAAUGCAUGAAUAGAAAACUGAACUUUGUCACUCUUUCAACCUGGGGAGCAAAACCAUGUGAAAGGUCACUGAGGAAGUUCCAAUGUGGAUGCCUGGAAGAUACAAGAGAACAACUCCCAGAGAUUUGGAAACACAGAGGAGGAGAGGUUUAAAAGGAGUGUGAGUUCAGAUUGGGACAUUUACAGUUAGGGUGACUUGAGGAAUGUCCUAUGAUGAGUCCAUUGGGCUUUUGGAGACAAAGGUCUGGAGAGAAGCUGGGGCUAGAGAUAGACUUGGGAAUUGUCCACAUGGAGGUACUAACUUAAGCCAUGAGAGGAGGAGGAGGAGGAAGAGGAGAAAGAGACAGACACACAGAGAGAGAGAGAGAGAGAGGAAGAGAGAGCUCACCGAGAACAAAUUAUUGGGGAACACCUACCUUUAGGGGAGGAGAAAAAAAAAGUAGGAGUAUUUCAAGAGUGAGAGAGUAACCAGAAGAUUUAAAUGUCAUGGAAACCAAAGAUGCAGCAUCAAGACAGAAGAAAUCAUCGAUAACACUGAAGGCAGCACACUGCAGGGGAGAAAGAAGACUGGGAAUUGGUGGUUAGAUGUGACCACCCAGAGAUCUGCCAUCCUACUGCCCACAUGUCCUGAUGAGCAGGUAUUUCCCAGCCCCGUGGGAGGCGCUGGCAGGUGGCUUGGAGGCCGCUCACUCAGGUGCAGAGUCUCGCUCUGUCGCCCAGGCUGGAGUGCAAUGGCAUG